UACAGAGGUCCCAAGCGUUGUUCGGAUUCACUGGGCGUAAAGGGUGCGUAGGCGGUCGGGUAAGUCUGACGUGAAAUCUUCAAGCUUAACUUGGAAACUGCGUCGGAUACUAUUCGGCUCGAGGAAUGGAGGGGAGACUGGAAUACUUGGUGUAGCAGUGAAAUGCGUAGAUAUCAAGUGGAACACCAGUGGCGAAGGCGAGUCUCUGGACAACUCCUGACACUGAGGCACGAAAGCUAGGGGAGCAAACAGG
rnacentral:rRNA from 1 species